rnacentral:rRNA from 1 species
UACAGAGGGUGCGAGCGUUAAUCGGAAUUACUGGGCGUAAAGGGUGCGUAGGUGGUUUGAUAAGUUAGGUGUGAAAGUCCUGGGCUUAACCUGGGGAUUGCGCCUAAUACUGUCGAGCUGGAGUACUGUAGAGGGAGGUGGAAUUUCCGGUGUAGCAGUGAAAUGCGUAGAUAUCGGAAGGAACAUCAGUGGCGAAGGCGACUUCCUGGACAGAUACUGACACUGAGGCACGAAAGCGUGGGGAGCAAACAGG